rnacentral:lncRNA from 1 species
GUCUUAAAGCCUGUAUUUUGGUUAUAUAAAUGUUGGGUUCAUAUUGAAACAUUUUGUGUGUAAGUUUUAUAGUUCAUUUGUCUUACACCGGUCGCAUUUCUAUGCCGUUUUAUGUCUGUGAAUAGCGUAUGAAGCAAGCUAACGGCUGACCCAUGAAUGUCCGGUGAAUGCAACUUUUCCCUCUCAAUUUACCCUCGUCUUGCACCCUUGGCAAGCGGAGCGAGCAUCUCUGCCAGCAUUGUUGGUGCCAAGGCGAGGUGCGUUCUGGAGACCUUGUGAUGGCUCAGCUGUGGAUGUUCCAGUAGAUGACCUAGCCGGUAUUGUAGUGCUGGCAUCCCACCUCAGAAAGUUAUGCAGCAUGCAGCUGGCCUUUACCAUGUUCUCUGCCACUUCUGGAGAGACACACAGCACCCGACGUGUUGUAGCCAGGGUAUGGGCGCAUGAUGUUACGGCGCAAGGGGAAGGCUUCGUCUGCCAGAAACACAUGAGGCAUCGGGCCAAGAUGUUCUGCCCCUGGGAGGAUGGAGUCAUCCGGGAUACCCAAUGUGUUCUGCCGUAGGGCAGUACCAAAAGCGGAGGAGGAGAGGGUUCCCCCAUCACUGUUUCUUCCAUAGGCCCCGAUGUCAACAAGCCUGAAACAGUACCUGGAGUCGACUACAGCCAGAAGGAC